rnacentral:rRNA from 1 species
GGGUAACCUGCCCAUCAGAAGGGGAUAACACUUGGAAACAGGUGCUAAUACCGUAUAACACUAUUUUCCGCAUGGAAGAAAGUUGAAAGGCGCUUUUGCGUCACUGAUGGAUGGACCCGCGGUGCAUUAGCUAGUUGGUGAGGUAACGGCUCACCAAGGCAACGAUGCAUAGCCGACCUGAGAGGGUGAUCGGCCACACUGGGACUGAGACACGGCCCAGACUCCUACGGGAGGCAGCAGUAGGGAAUCUUCGGCAAUGGACGAAAGUCUGACCGAGCAACGCCGCGUGAGUGAAGAAGGUUUUCGGAUCGUAAAACUCUGUUGUUAGAGAAGAACAAGGAUGAGAGUAAAACGUUCAUCCCUUGACGGUAUCUAACCAGAAAGCCACGGCUAACUACGUGCCAGCAGCCGCGGUAAUACGUAGGUGGCAAGCGUUGUCCGGAUUUAUUGGGCGUAAAGCGAGCGCAGGCGGUUUCUUAAGUCUGAUGUGAAAGCCCCCGGCUCAACCGGGGAGGGUCAUUGGAAACUGGGAGACUUGAGUGCAGAAGAGGAGAGUGGAAUUCCAUGU